AUUGAACGCUGGCGGCAUGCCUUACACAUGCAAGUCGAACGGCAGCACGGGAGCGAUCCUGGUGGCGAGUGGCGAACGGGUGAGUAAAGUAUCGGAACGUGCCCGGUCGUGGGGGAUAACGUAGCGAAAGUUACGCUAAUACCGCACACGAUCUAUGGAUGAAAGCGGGGGAUCGCAAGACCUCGCGCGAUUGGAGCGGCCGAUAUCAGAUUAGGUAGUUGGUGGGGUAAAGGCUCACCAAGCCGACGAUCUGUAGCUGGUCUGAGAGGACGACCAGCCACACUGGGACUGAGACACGGUCCAGACUCCUACGGGAGGCAGCAGUGGGGAAUUUUGGACAAUGGGCGAAAGCCUGAUCCAGCCAUGCCGCGUGCAGGAUGAAGGCCUUCGGGUUGUAAACUGCUUUUGUACGGAACGAAAAGGUUUGGCCUAAUAAGCUGAGCUCAUGACGGUACCGUAAGAAUAAGCACCGGCUAACUACGUGCCAGCCGCCGCGGUAA
rnacentral:rRNA from 1 species